AUGACAUUCGGCUUGAGAAAUGCCGGUGCCACUUUUCAGCGUUGCAUGCAGAAAUGCCUCCUCAAGCAACUCGGCAGAAAUGCCCACGUCUAUGUAGACGAUAUUGUGGUGAAGACGGAGAAGCGCAGCACCCUGCUGGAAGACCUCAGAGAAACAUUCGACAAACUGCGCCGGUUUCAGAUCAAGCUCAACCCUGAGAAAUGCGUGUUCGGAGUACCAGCCGGCCGGCUUCUAGGCUUCUUGGUCUCCGAACGCGGCAUCGAGUGCAACCCAGUGAAGAUCAAGGCCAUAGAGAGAAUGCAGAAUUCCUACCAAGCUGCGAGACGUCCAAAAGUUUACCGGGUGCCUAGCCUCCCUGAACCGCUUCAUCAGUCGGCUGGGAGAAAAGGCUCUCCCCCUGUACCGACUCAUGAAAAAGUCCACCCACUUCGAGUGGAACGACCAAGCAGACCAAGC
rnacentral:rRNA from 1 species